GCUUGCUGGGGUACACGAGUGGCGAACGGGUGAGUAACACGUGGGUGACCUGCCCCGCACUUCGGGAUAAGCCUGGGAAACUGGGUCUAAUACCGGAUAGGACCGCACCGUGAGGGUGUGGUGGAAAGUUUUUCGGUGUGGGAUGGGCCCGCGGCCUAUCAGCUUGUUGGUGGGGUAAUGGCCUACCAAGGCGGCGACGGGUAGCCGGCCUGAGAGGGUGGACGGCCACAUUGGGACUGAGACACGGCCCAGACUCCUACGGGAGGCAGCAGUGGGGAAUAUUGCACAAUGGGCGGAAGCCUGAUGCAGCGACGCCGCGUGGGGGAUGACGGCCUUCGGGUUGUAAACUCCUUUCACCAUCGACGAAGGUUUUCUGACGGUAGAUGGAGAAGAAGCACCGGCUAACUACGUGCCAGCAGCCGCGGUAAUACGUAGGGUGCGAGCGUUGUCCGGAAUUACUGGGCGUAAAGAGCUCGUAGGUGGUUUGUCGCGUCGUCUGUGAAAUUCCGGGGCUUAACUCCGGGCGUGCAGGCGAUACGGGCAUAACUUGAGUACUGUAGGGGAGACUGGAAUUCCUGGUGUAGCGGUGAAAUGCGCAGAUAUCAGGAGGAACACCGGUGGCGAAGGCGGGUCUCUGGGCAGUAACUGACGCUGAGGAGCG
rnacentral:rRNA from 1 species